AUGAAGAUGUUGCUGGUGUUCCUGCUGAUACUGACAGUCCACAUUCAGGGAUCGUCGGCCAGUCCAACUGUGACUCAGUCUCCUGUGUCAAAGUCUGUCAGUGUGGGAGAGACGGUGUCUCUGAGCUGUACAGCCAGUACAGGAGUGGAUGAUGACCGCAGUUGGUACCUGCAGAAACCUGGACAACCUCCCAAACUGCUGUUUUACAAAACAAGCAGCCGUCAGUCCGGCACUCCGAGUCGUUUCAGCAGCAGUGGAUCUGAACCUGACUUCACUCUGACCAUCAGUGGAUUCCAGGCUGAAGAUGCAGCAGAUUACUACUGUAUGGGAGAGUAUGUGGGUCAGCGCACACAGUGA